rnacentral:rRNA from 1 species
AUGAACGCUAGCUACAGGCUUAACACAUGCAAGUCGAGGGGCAGCAUGGUCUUAGCUUGCUAAGGCCGAUGGCGACCGGCGCACGGGUGAGUAACACGUAUCCAACCUGCCGUCUACUCUUGGACAGCCUUCUGAAAGGAAGAUUAAUACAAGAUGGCAUCAUGAGUCCACAUGUUCACAUGAUUAAAGGUAUUCCGGUAGACGAUGGGGAUGCGUUCCAUUAGAUAGUAGGCGGGGUAACGGCCCACCUAGUCUUCGAUGGAUAGGGGUUCUGAGAGGAAGGUCCCCCACAUUGGAACUGAGACACGGUCCAAACUCCUACGGGAGGCAGCAGUGAGGAAUAUUGGUCAAUGGGCGAGAGCCUGAACCAGCCAAGUAGCGUGAAGGAUGACUGCCCUAUGGGUUGUAAACUUCUUUUAUAAAGGAAUAAAGUCGGGUAUGCAUACCCGUUUGCAUGUACUUUAUGAAUAAGGAUCGGCUAACUCCGUGCCAGCAGCCGCGGUAAUACGGAGGAUCCGAGCGUUAUCCGGAUUUAUUGGGUUUAAAGGGAGCGUAGAUGGAUGUUUAAGUCAGUUGUGAAAGUUUGCGGCUCAACCGUAAAAUUGCAGUUGAUACUGGAUAUCUUGAGUGCAGUUGAGGCAGGCGGAAUUCGUGGUGUAGCGGUGAAAUGCUUAGAUAUCACGAAGAACUCCGAUUGCGAAGGCAGCCUGCUAAGCUGCAACUGACAUUGAGGCUCGAAAGUGUGGGUAUCAAACAGGAUUAGAUACCCUGGUAGUCCACACGGUAAACGAUGAAUACUCGCUGUUUGCGAUAUACAGCAAGCGGCCAAGCGAAAGCGUUAAGUAUUCCACCUGGGGAGUACGCCGGCAACGGUGAAACUCAAAGGAAUUGACGGGGGCCCGCACAAGCGGUGGAGCAUGUGGUUUAAUUCGAAGCAACGCGAAGAACCUUACCAAAUCUUGACAUCCUCUGAUCCCUCUAGAGAUAGAGGUUUCCCCUUCGGGGGACAGAGUGACAGGUGGUGCAUGGUUGUCGUCAGCUCGUGUCGUGAGAUGUUGGGUUAAGUCCCGCAACGAGCGCAACCCUUGUUGUCAGUUACUAACAGGUUCUGCUGAGGACUCUGACAAGACUGCCAUCGUAAGAUGUGAGGAAGGUGGGGAUGACGUCAAAUCAGCACGGCCCUUACGUCCGGGGCUACACACGUGUUACGAUGGGGGGUACAGAGGGCCGCUACCACGCGAGUGGAUGCCAAUCCCCAAAACCUCUCUCAGUUCGGACUGGAGUCUGCAACCCGACUCCACGAAGCUGGAUUCGCUAGUAAUCGCGCAUCAGCCACGGCGCGGUGAAUACGUUCCCGGGCCUUGUACACACCGCCCGUCAAGCCAUGGGAGCCGGGGGUACCUGAAGUGCGUAACCGCGAGGAGCGCCCUAGGGUAAAACUGGUGACUGGGGCU